UACGUAGGCAGCAAGCGUUGUUCGGAGUUACUGGGCGUAAAGAGUGUGUAGGCGGUUUUCUAAGUUUGGUGUGAAAUCUCCCGGCUUAACUGGGAGGGUGCGCCGAAGACUGGAAGGCUUGAGUAUGGGAGAGGAAAGCGGAAUUCCUGGUGUAGCGGUGAAAUGCGUAGAUAUCAGGAGGAACACCUGUGGUGUAGACGGCUUUCUGGACCAUCACUGACGCUGAGACACGAAAGCGUGGGUAGCAAACGGG
rnacentral:rRNA from 1 species